rnacentral:tRNA from 1 species
CAGGGAGACAACAAAAUGUUUAAUAUUAUUAUUUUGUCACCUUAGGUCGAUCGGUAUCUCACGUUUUUAAUUUAUUAAGAAUUUCAUUUCCUAAGUUUUUCUAGGUCACACCCAUUAUUUUUCCUGGGCCAUUAGCUCAGGUGGUUAGAGCGCACCCCUGAUAAGGGUGAGGUCCCUGGUUCAAGUCCAGGAUGGCCCAUAUCUCUAUGUUGGGGGUAUAGCUCAGUUGGUAGAGCGCCUGCUUUGCAAGCAGGAUGUCAGCGGUUCGAGUCCGCUUACCUCCACUGAUCACCACCUCUUCCAUAACUGGUAGAAAGGAAAUGUUUUGAGUUGUGAUCAAAUUCUGAAAGAAUCCAGCUUCCUAAUGUAAUCAUUAAGAUGCUGGACUCAUUGAAUUAAUUUCAUUGUUUUCAGAGAACCUUGACAACUGCAUAGAUUAUUUUUAAAGACAAUAAGCAUCUCUAAUGAUGCAGAUUUAUUAUUUGUGCGAAUGCAUUAAUAACAAUUCUAUUAAGCUGAUGCUUCAAUUAUUGAAGUUAUU